rnacentral:rRNA from 1 species
UACGGAGGGUGCAAGCAUUAAUCGGAUUUAUUGGGCGUAAAGGGCGCGUAGGCGGGAAGAUAAGUCAGAUGUGAAAUCCCUGGGCUUAACCUAGGAACUGCAUUUGUGACUGCAUUGCUGGAGUGUGGUAGAGGGAGAUGGAAUUCCGCAUGUAGCAGUGAAAUGCGUAGAUAGUGCGGAGGAACACCAAUGGCGAAGGCAAUCUCCUGGACCUGCACUGACGCUCAUGCACGAAAGCGUGGGGAGCAAACAGG